rnacentral:rRNA from 1 species
AAAAGGUGGCUAUACUACCGCUUUUGGAUGGGCCCGCGGCGCAUUAGCUAGUUGGUAGGGUAAAGGCUUACCAAGGCAAUGAUGCGUAGCCGAACUGAGAGGUUGAUCGGCCACAUUGGGACUGAGACACGGCCCAAACUCCUACGGGAGGCAGCAGUAGGGAAUCUUCCACAAUGGGCGAAAGCCUGAUGGAGCAACGCCGCGUGGGUGAAGAAGGUCUUCGGAUCGUAAAACCCUGUUGUUAGAGAAGAAAGUGCGUGAGAGUAACUGUUCACGUUUCGACGGUAUCUAACCAGAAAGCCACGGCUAACUACGUGCCAGCAGCCGCGGUAAUACGUAGGUGGCAAGCGUUAUCCGGAUUUAUUGGGCGUAAAGGGAACGCAGGCGGUCUUUUAAGUCUGGUGUGAAAGCCUUCGGCUUAACCGGAGUAGUGCAUUGGAAACUGGGAGACUUGAGUGCAGAAGAGGAGAGUGGAACUCCAUGUGUAGCGGUGAAAUGCGUAGAUAUAUGGAAGAACACCAGUGGCGAAAGCGGCUCUCUGGUCUGUAACUGACGCUGAGGUUCGAAAGCGUGGGUAGCAAACAGGAUUAGAUACCCUGGUAGUCCACGCCGUAAACGAUGAAUGCUAAGUGUUGGAGGGUUUCCGCCCUUCA